GAUGAACGCUGGCGGCGUGCCUAAUACAUGCAAGUCGAGCGAACAGACGAGGAGCUUGCUCCUUUGACGUUAGCGGCGGACGGGUGAGUAACACGUAGGUAACCUACCUAUAAGACUGGGAUAACUUCGGGAAACCGGAGCUAAUACCGGAUAAUAUUUCGAACCGCAUGGUUCGAUAGUGAAAGAUGGCUUUGCUAUCACUUAUAGAUGGACCUGCGCCGUAUUAGCUAGUUGGUAAGGUAACGGCUUACCAAGGCAACGAUACGUAGCCGACCUGAGAGGGGGAUCGGCCACACUGGAACUGAGACACGGUCCAGACUCCUACGGGAGGCAGCAGUAGGGAAUCUUCCGCAAUGGGCGAAAGCCUGACGGAGCAACGCCGCGUGAGUGAUGAAGGUCUUCGGAUCGUAAAACUCUGUUAUUAGGGAAGAACAAACGUGUAAGUAACUGUGCACGUCUUGACGGUACCUAAUCAGAAAGCCACGGCUAACUACGUG
rnacentral:rRNA from 1 species